GCCACUUCCGGGUGAAGUUGCUUCCUGAGCAAGUUCUGCUAUCAUUUCUUCAUACGCCUCAUCUAUUUCUGGUUGUGAUUCUGCUAGGCCAAAGCUCCUUCUUUCUGCGCGGAUCCAAUCUCGAAAAAGCAUUGAUUUUUCCAAGUUGUCCCGCAUCGACGCUCUGUGAUCACCUAUUUGUAGUCUAGCUUGACUAAAAGCGCUCUCCGAUGCAACAAUUGACGCUUGAAUCGAC
rnacentral:lncRNA from 1 species